CCUUGCUGCUCUGGCCCGAGCCCUGAGUCCCUAUUCUAUGCCCCCUCAUCCUCCCCAUGUGGGCUUCUGCGGUCACCCAGUUGGAUCAGAUCCAGACCUGGGGAAGGGGGUGCCCCGCAGCUGUGUAAAGGAACGAAGGGUCUCUUUGUGUCCCGAAUCGGAAGAAGACGAGGCCGGUCCAAGCGGCCAAGAGCAUGCGCGCUGCUUUCCGAGGGACUGGGGAGGAAACAGGUCUCCAAAGUACCAACUUCACUCAAGUUUGCCCCCGGCACUGUCCACCCCACUGCAGGGGAAGGAGUGCGUGUGCGCGUGCACGUGUGUAAGCCCUGGGCGUCUGGACAGAAGGACACCGAUGGCCGAGCUCGACAUGGGGGUCCACACUUGGGGGAGGGUCCCUCAGUCCAGCGUGGCAGCAGGGAAGCCCAAGGGUGAGGGGGGGGGGGGCCCUCGCCAGGUUAUGGGCUCGGCCCCGCCCCAGGCUUCACGGGCUGCCGAUGUCCUCCUGGCAGCAGGGCGCCUCUCGCGCAUCAGAGCAGGGGACCCGCAUCCUGGAGAGGUCCCACUGGGAUGCCUGGCGGGUAUGGUGGCAGAUCUUUAGACACAGGGACAUGAGUAAAAGGGGCCUCCCUGAACUGGAGUCUGGAGGCCAGCAGGGGCGGCUCUCACCCCAACCACUCCUCCGCUGCAGGCCCGACAGGGAGAGCCGCACCUUGCAGGCUGCUACUACCACCGGACUAGGUAGGAAGCCCAGUGUCCUCCUCCCCGGCUGGUGAGAGACGCCAGUGCUCAGUGGUGGGAAGCCCUACACUUCCAGCUCCCACUUCACUCCAAUGAGCUCUCAGUUUGCAACUGCUCUUCCUCGCACCCCUGCCCUUCUACAAAAGAGCCUCCCUUGGACGCCCUGCAGCUCAGUCAUUAAGCGUCUGCCUUUGGC